GAUGAACGCUGGCGGCGUGCUUAACACAUGCAAGUCGAACGGUGAAGCCCAGCUUGCUGGGUGGAUCAGUGGCGAACGGGUGAGUAACACGUGAGCAAUCUGCCCCUGACUCUGGGAUAAGCGCUGGAAACGGCGUCCAAUACUGGAUACGAACCGUGGAGGCAUCUUCAACGGUUGGCAAGAUUUUUUGGUCAGGGAUGAGCUCGCGGCCUAUCGGCUGGUCGGUGAGGUAAUGGCUCACCAAGGCGUCGACGGGUAGCCGGCCUGAGAGGGCGACCGGCCACACUGGGACUGAGACACGGCCCAGACUCCUACGGGAGGCAGCAGUGGGGAAUAUUGCACAAUGGGCGAAAGCCUGAUGCAGCAACGCCGCGUGAGGGAUGACGGCCUUCGGGUUGUAAACCUCUUUUAGCAGGGAAGAAGCGAAAGUGACGGUACCUGCAGAAAAAGCGCCGGCUAACUACGUGCCAGCAGCCGCGGUAA
rnacentral:rRNA from 1 species